rnacentral:rRNA from 1 species
AAUGAACGCUGGCGGCGUGCCUAAUACAUGCAAGUCGAGCGAACAGACGAGGAGCUUGCUCCUCUGACGUUAGCGGCGGACGGGUGAGUAACACGUGGAUAACCUACCUAUAAGACUGGGAUAACUUCGGGAAACCGGAGCUAAUACCGGAUAAUAUAUUGAACCGCAUGGUUCAAUAGUGAAAGACGGUUUUGCUGUCACUUAUAGAUGGAUCCGCGCCGCAUUAGCUAGUUGGUAAGGUAACGGCUUACCAAGGCAACGAUGCGUAGCCGACCUGAGAGGGUGAUCGGCCACACUGGAACUGGGACACGGUCCAGACUCCUACGGGAGGCAGCAGUAGGGAAUCUUCCGCAAUGGGCGAAAGCCUGACGGAGCAACGCCGCGUGAGUGAUGGAGGUCUUCGGAUCGUAAAACUCUGUUAUUAGGGAAGAACAAAUGUGUAAGUAACUAUGCACGUCUUGACGGUACCUAAUCAGAAAGCCACGGCUAACUACGUG